rnacentral:misc_RNA from 1 species
UUAAUUAUUUAGUUUGUUAACUCAGAGAUGCAACUGAAACAGAGUUUGGUUUGGGGCCUCUGGCGGGCACCUCCCCCCGGAGGGGAGGCGACGGCCCCUCCCUGGGGCUGCCCGCCGAAGCAACAAGAAUAUAGGUUCACAAAGGGUUGAUGAAGAGGCCCGAAGGCGCUCUGUCUCGUAAUGAUCCCUCCGCUGGUUCACCAACGGAGA